rnacentral:lncRNA from 1 species
CAAUCCAAGGGCAUCUUUGCUUAAACAGAGUGACUUUCCCAUGGCAGUGAGCAGAAAUUUCUGCGUGUCUGUCCAUUCUCUUGUUUUCUCCAUGGAUACAAGGUGUAACUGACUAACUGACCACAGCAGCUCACAGUGCUAACCACUGAGCAACAGCAUUUGAUGAGCUGAGUUGUGUGGCUAGCUUGCUACCACCAGGCCCCAAGUCCUGAGCCCCAAAGGAAAGGGAAAAGAUAACACUGCGACAGACAGAAGAACACAGCGGAAGUUAACAAGUGCCUCUUCCAGCACAGUAUCUCCCUCUGAAGCUUCCCACCCCUUCAGAGGACAACUGUGCAGAAGCCCACAGUGGGCCUCUGUAACAGCCAGUCCCAGUGCCUAGAUGCUGAGGACUCCAGAGGUUGGCAUGGAGGCAGGUGGACUCUCCAUUUGCAGAGGAGAUGAGCUCUGCCUCUAAUGCAUCUUUGCAACAUCAAUGCAUCCCUGAAAGUGUUCCAACUCAAUCCAGGAUGUUCCCUCUGGCUCCCUGAAGUCAUGCCUGCUGUCCCCACAUUGAAACACGUAGCUUACAUAGACAGCGCCGUUACCUCCCACCUCUGAACACAGUUGGAACCGCUCACAAAAGACUUGCCAAAGACAUGGGUUGACCUGUUCCUAAGAUACAGGGUACAAAGGCAGCUGUCUAUGCAAGUUCACAAAUGGCUCCCAAGGGGUCUUGGCUGGACUUAGGGCCCUACAUCUGACUGGUGGUUGAACAUGACACACAUUUACAACAUGGAGGGAGAUGGCAGGACAUCACACUCUCAACACUGUGACAAGGCAGUGUCAGAGUUCGGGCACGGCCUCAGUAUUCACACAAAACCCAACUUGCACUUGGAACAGACAAGAGCUUCUCAUCCUUGCGAACAGCCCCGUUCUCCCAGACCUCCCUUCCCAGUUUCUUAAAGACUAGUCUCCAUGCCAACUUAAAUAUUGCAUUUGGUUGGGAGAGAAGAAACCGCGAGCCCAGAAUGGAAGUCAAAUUAUUCCACAAAUAUUGCUUAUUUAAAUAACAUUUUUAAAAAUACAUCAUGUUCAGUGGUGAAGAACUACUAAAUUAUUGAAUUCCCCGAAGCAUCCUACAGGCUUUCAAGUGGCUCAUGAAGCCCUAUAAAAGAACGUGAUAAAUAGUCAAAAAGGAACGCUGGGCUCCACGUCAGGAUGCCUGGAUGAGCCAACGUAAAACAUCUUCAUGUAAGCUUUCCACUUAAACCGGCGAUUAAACAGAUUAAACAGAUGAUUAAACAAAUAAAGAUUAAUGAAACAAGUAAAGUAAUCAAAUCUGUAUGGAUGUAUAAACGAACGAUUCCCAACAAUAUUAGAACAAAUUGUCUAAAACUAAUAGGGAAAUGCGUCAGCCCGGUCCCAACAGCUUUUGUUGGGCUCGCGCUUGGAUGUAAUCAAAACAUUUGUUUAAACUAAGAUGGAUAUGAGGCGCUAAGAUGUCAGUUUCUUGAAAGAGAAAAAUAAAACAAAAGCAACGCCUUUGGUGAGGAGAUUGGCACCAGCGACAGGCCUGCAUUGCUGAGGGAUCUGUGAACGGAGCAGGGAGGGAGGGCUCUGUCUGCUUUUGAAAAUAGGCUGUGCGCAAAUAAUUAGUACCAGCAGGCCGGAAGAAGCCAGAGGUAGCUCGAUGCUUAAGAAUUUGAGAGGAAGAGAAAAACUGUUCAGAUGUCCAGUCCUUUAGAAAGCCCUGUUUAAUCAUCAGCCAUUGAUACGCUAAUUAAAAUGUGGGCUUAACCCCGCCUUUUCCCUGAGAGCAGGGCUAUUCUCCCAGUACUCUGAGAGAGAAUAACUUGGGGUUUCUUAACAAGGAUGG